rnacentral:rRNA from 1 species
UUAAAGAUUAUAAUUUUAAGUYUAAUYUGCUCCAUGAAAUUUUUAAAUAGCUGCAGAAUUUUAACUGUAUGAAAGUAGCAUAAUCAAUAGUUUUUUAAUUAAAAGCUGGAAUGAAUGAUUUAAUAAGGUAAUUAUUGUCUCAAAUUUAAUAAAAUUAAAAUUUUUUUUUUAGUAAAAAAACUAAAUUUUAUUUAAAAGACGAGAAGACCCUAUAGAUUUUUAUAUUUUAAAUUAAAUUAAAUAAAAAUUUAUAAUUAUUUAUUUAAUAGAAAAGUAUUUGAUUGGGGAAAUUAUUAAACUAAAAAAAUUUUAAUUUAAAUUAAACAAAAAUUAUUGGAUAAUUGAUCUUAAAUUUUAAAUUUAAAGAAUAAAAUACCUUAGGGAUAACAGCGUAAUUUUUUUGGAGAGAUCUUAUUAAUAAAAAAGUUUGCGACCUCGAUGUUGAAUUAAGAUAAAAUUUAAAUGUAGAAGUUUAAAAUUUUUGGUCUGUUCGACCAUUAAAAUCUUACAUGAUCUGAGUUCA